rnacentral:rRNA from 1 species
CGCUGGCGGCACGCCUAACACAUGCAAGUCGAACGAAGUAGCAAUACUUAGUGGCAGACGGGUGAGUAACAUGUAGGUAUCUGCCCUUUGGCCUGGAAUAACACGAGGAAACUUGUGCUAAUACCGGAUAAGUCUUUACGGAGAAAGCUUUAUGCACCAUUGGAGGAGCCUGCACUAGAUUAGUUUGUUGGUGGGGUAAUGGCCUACCAAGACUGUGAUCUAUAGCUGAUUUGAGAGGAUGAUCAGCCACAUUGGGACUGAGACACGGCCCAAACUCCUACGGGAGGCAGCAGUGGGGAAUCUUGCACAAUGGAGGAAACUCUGAUGCAGCGAUGCCGCGUGAGUGAAGAAGGCCUUUGGGUUGUAAAGCUCUUUCGUCGGGGAAGAAAAUGACUGUACCCGAAUAAGAAGGUCCGGCUAACUUCGUGCCAGCAGCCGCGGUAAUACGAAGGGACCUAGCGUAGUUCGGAUUUACUGGGCUUAAAGAGUUCGUAGGUGGUUGAAAAAGUUGGUGGUGAAAUCCCAGAGCUUAACUCUGGAACUGCCAUCAAAACUUUUCAGCUAGAGUAUGAUAGAGGAAAGCAGAAUUUCUAGUGUAGAGGUGAAAUUCGUAGAUAUUAGAAAGAAUACCAAUUGCGAAGGCAGCUUUCUGGAUCAUUACUGACACUGAGGAACGAAAGCAUGGGUAGCGAAGAGGAUUAGAUACCCUCGUAGUCCAUGCCGUAAACGAUGUGUGUUAGACGUUGGAAAUUUAUUUUCAGUGUCGCAGCGAAAGCGAUAAACACACCGCCUGGGGAGUACGACCGCAAGGUUAAAACUCAAAUGAAUUGACGGGGACCCGCACAAGUAGUGGAGCAUGUGGUUUAAUUCGAAGAUACGCGCAG